UACAGAGGUCCCAAGCGUUGUUCGGAUUCAUUGGGCGUAAAGGGUGCGUAGGCGGCAGGGUAAGUCUGGUGUGAAAUCCCGGGGCUCAACCCCGGAACUGCACUGGAUACUGCUUUGCUAGAGUACUGGAGAGGGAACUGGAAUUUACGGUGUAACAGUGAAAUGCGUAGAUAUCGUAAGGAAGACCAGUGGCGAAGGCGAGUUCCUGGACAGUUACUGACGCUGAGGCACGAAGGCCAGGGGAGCAAACGGG
rnacentral:rRNA from 1 species